rnacentral:rRNA from 1 species
UCUGGUUGAUCCUGCCAGAGGUUACUGCUAUCGAGGUUCGACUAAGCCAUGCGAGUCGAAUGUAGCAAUACAUGGCGUACUGCUCAGUAACACGUGGACAACCUACCCUCCGGACGGGGAUAAACCCGGGAAACUGGGUAUAAUACCCGAUAGAUCUCGACUGCUGGAAUGCAUCGAGAUCGAAAGCUCCGGCGCCAGAGGAUGGGUCUGCGGCCUAUCAGGUAGUAGUGGGUGUAGCGUACCUACUAGCCUACGACGGGUACGGGUUGUGAGAGCAAGAGCCCGGAGAUGGAUUCUGAGACACGAAUCCAGGCCCUACGGGGUGCAGCAGGCGCGAAAACUUUACAAUGCCGGCAACGGCGAUAAGGGGACCUCGAGUGCCAGGUUACAAAUCUGGCUGUCGUGAUGCCUAAAAAGCAUUGCAUAGCAAGGGCCGGGCAAGACCGGUGCCAGCCGCCGCGGUAACACCGGCGGCUCGAGUGGUAACCGUUAUUAUUGGGUCUAAAGGGUCUGUAGCCGGCCGGAUAAGUCUCUUGGGAAAUCCAGCAGCUCAACUGUUGGGCUUUCAGGAGAUACUGUCUGGCUCGAGGCCGGGAGAGGUGAGAGGUACUUCAGGGGUAGGGGUGAAAUCUUGUAAUCCUUGAAGGACCACCAGUGGCGAAGGCGUCUCACCAGAACGGACCUGACGGCAAGGGACGAAAGCUAGGGGCACGAACCGGAUUAGAUACCCGGGUAGUCCUAGCCGUAAACGAUACUCGCUAGGUGUCGGCCACGGUGCGACCGUUGUCGGUGCCGUAGGGAAGCCGUGAAGCGAGCCACCUGGGAAGUACGGCCGCAAGGCUGAAACUUAAAGGAAUUGGCGGGGGAGCACCACAACGGGUGGAGCUUGCGGUUUAAUUGGAUUCAACGCCGGA